rnacentral:hammerhead_ribozyme from 1 species
AUCCAACUGACGAGUCCCAUAUAAGACGGGAUGUGCGUCUUGUAU